CCAGGUUACAAAUCUGGCUGUCGUGAUGCCUAAAAAGCAUUGCAUAGCAAGGGCCGGGCAAGACCGGUGCCAGCCGCCGCGGUAACACCGGCGGCUCGAGUGGUAACCGUUAUUAUUGGGUCUAAAGGGUCUGUAGCCGGCCGGAUAAGUCUCUUGAGAAAUCCAGCAGCUCAACUGUUGGGCUUUCAGGUGAUACUGUUCGGCUCGAGGCCGGGAGAGGUGAGAGGUACUUCAGGGGUAGGGGUGAAAUCUUGUAAUCCUUGAAGGACCACCAGUGGCGAAGGCGUCUCACCAGAACGGACCUGACGGCAAGGGACGAAAGCUAGGGGCACGAACCGGAUUAGAUACCCGGGUAGUCCUAGCCGUAAACGAUACUCGCUAGGUGUCGGCCACGGUGCGACCGUUGUCGGUGCCGUAGGGAAGCCGUGAAGCGAGCCACCUGGGAAGUA
rnacentral:rRNA from 1 species